CUGCUUGUCCUUGCAUGUCGGAUAGUACGCCUGGGUUGUUGAGCAGGUUAACGGCACAUAGGACGAGCGGGUUGUACUAUUACUGAUUAUACCUGAGAAGAUGAGAGUGGUCAGCUAAAUAAUCAGAGGGCGACCGUACCGGCAUAGCUGAACCGUUGAAAUUACCCUCCUACAGAUAAUCACAGCUCCUCUGUAGCGGACAAGCUACCUCAUCCACAACAUCUGCUGCCUCAAUUCCAAGAUCUGGUUGCUGCCUCUACAAAUCUCGCCAACGGCAUAUGGAAAGGAGUUCAAACGAGCUCGGCGUCAUGUUGGAGGUGGGGAGAACUCGAAGCAAAUGAGUCUAGACGAGCUUGUUAUAUUGUGCCACCACGGAAACAACUUGAUGCAAUGGUUUGGACAGCUUCAUGACGAAGUAAAAGAAGAGCUUAUGACAGAAGAAACAUGAUUGGUUGGGCGUCCUUGCCAGCGACCUCGCAGUCUCCAACCCACCCAUAGUUUAACACAUACUCGAGGGAAGGAGGAUAUAACGGUGCAAUGGAUGGACUAUCAAGAGGUCAAUCGUGAGAGUAUAUGCCAACUAUCUUAGGUGCAUAUGGCAUGAUACUAACGACCCGUGCAGUUCCUCCCUGAAUGUUUGCUUGCUGACUGCGAGGCGGCCUUCUUCCAUCAGAUAUUGUUGUGCAUUGAUAAUUUUGUUAGUUCUCAUACUCCCUGUUCAAAAAAAAUUCUAGCAUAUUACGUGUUGUAUGUAUAUAAGAAGCUUCGUCGUGUGUCA